GGGGAAUUAGCUCAGUUGGUAGAGCGCCUGCUUUGCAAGCAGGAUGUCAGGAGUUCGAGUCUCCUAUUCUCCA
rnacentral:tRNA from 2 species